GGGGAGGGGGGUGCAGCAGAUAGGGGUGGGUCGUCAGUUUUUGAGCUCUUGCAUUGGUAAAGGUGGGUCGUUCAAUUUUCAGCUACCCAUGGGGGUGGGUCAUGCUAUUUCAUAACAGGAAUUGGCACACAUUUGAGAAAUCGACAACGAAGGUAACUCCUUCCAGUUCCAAAUUAAGAACGAAAACUUUUCGAGCCGUGGCUGAAAAAGUACACUUGGCUGGUGUACAACAGAGAUGGUAAUAUGACUUAAAGUUACAAGAGCAAAGGAAAACAAUAUUAUUUUAGAUCAUUUGGUAUUAUUGUUAAGAGCUAAAUCUAAAACGUAAAUAAUUAUAAUACCACCACCUUUUGAAAUGCUCCGGCCCACUUCCCCCAUGUACUUUUUGAGAAGUCCGUAACCACGAUCUCUGAUGUUGUUUGCAGAUGUAACGGUUACACCUUUUUCGCCACUGCAUCACUCCACCCCCAAAAAGAAAGGGGCAUGCGAAGAGAAAAUAGAUCUGGAGGUAUCAGUCAACAGCAUAUUCCUGUGUUAGUUUAUUGAAGAAAUUAAUGGUUUUUUGGGCUCAUUACUAUACAAGACCAGUAAGUUUGACGGAGGAACUAAAUCCUGUUUUUUAGAUGACUCCAUCUACAGAGGAGAGGUACAGGCAGAUGACGCCUCUCAAAAGAGAAGCUUUUAAAUUGGUCAGUGCCAUUGUUAAUUACAAUUUACUAAAAAACAUAACUUCGAAAUGCCCAACAAAAAAAAAACGGACCAUCCAACUAGCUAAUGGAAUUCUUGAUGGAGGGCUGACUAACUGACCGACAACCGACCAGCCGAACGGUCGACCAACGGACUGUCUGACCGAUUGACAAACUAACUACUAACCUAACUGGUUGGGCUACCUGUGAAUUCAAACCAACUUUCUAUUUGCAUUCUCUUUCUUAAGGGUUAUUCUUCUGCCAUGAGGCUGAAACGCUCCAGGUGUACUAGAGAUAUCUUUUCAGAUUCAGACUUGACUGUAGACGAAACAAGUGAUGAAGAGUCCGAGGUGUCAACUGAGCGAAGCGACGAACCAGGAGAAGAUAAUGGUAAUAACUUCAGUUAGAAAACUGCUCAUAAUGUAUGCAAUUUACCAGAGUUAUGGUUAACUUGAUAUCCACAUUGUUCUGAAGUUAACUGGGUUUGCACACUUUGGUCAGUAAAGGCGCGUGAUGUGUUUUAUUAUGGGAAAUGUUAAGGUUCGUUUGUUUCCGUUUUCCUCAUGUACCACAGAGGCUGCAAUGUCAGCUGAUGAACAGAGCGAGGAACCAGGAGAAAAUGAUGGUAAUAAUGUUAGUUAGAAAAUUACUCGCAGUGCAUGCAAUUCAGUAGCAGAUGGGGAUACAGUUACCGGUAUCUUUAUAAACACUUUUUUAAAGCGUAGUUUGGUCUAAAAUUGCUUAUGAAUUCUAUCAUGGAAAAUUGCACGCGUUUUUUUAAGUAACUGUUUUGUUUUAUAAACUUUAAUGGAACUUCUGAAUGACAAGCUUUUAUCGUUUUAUGUCAGGUACUGGACGUUUUUCUUUUGUAGCUGGGGCUAUUGGCGUCACAAAGAGAAUCCAUAAAGGUAUAUAUGCGUCAUUGCAAAUGCUACUCGUAACAAUACCACGAGGUUCCAGUACGUUAACCGCAACUCCUUUCCCACUUUAUACUUAGGAAGUGGCAGUAGUGAUGUUUGUCUAUUGUGCCGAGAAAGCUCACCUCCAGGAAACAAAAAGGGAGCAAUCGACUGGGUUGAGUGUACCGACUGCCUUCAGUGGUACCACUUGUAGUCGAUGUGCAGGCUUGAAGUCCGAGCCACCUAGUGACUGGUGUUGCAGCGACUGCUUGCUGGAGAAAAUGGCAUAGUCAAGAUGUGCUGAUAUCAAAUAAAAAUAAAAGAGUGAACAGGGUUAAUUUUGUCUUCUUCCUGUCUUACGUAUAACUGCUAAGUCACCCCCUUCCCACAAAAGUGCGCAACAAAGGCCACAUGGGCAACAACGACAACAUAGGUAACAUGGGCCACAAGGGCAAC
rnacentral:lncRNA from 1 species